rnacentral:rRNA from 1 species
CGACGAGGUAGAUAGGGCAGAGGUGGAAGUGCAGCAAUGCAUGUAGCUGACUGUUACUAAUCGGUCGAGGGCUUAACCA